rnacentral:rRNA from 1 species
CAAUAGCGUAUAUUAACGUUGUUGCAGUUAAAAAGCUCGUAGUUGGAUUUCUGGAGGGAGCGUCGGCCCGUAUUUACGAGUGCGUGACGUCUCUGUCCAUCCUUGCGGGAAGGCACGGCAUUGAUUUGUUGUGUCGGAUCGCAUCAUUUACUGUGAAAAAAUUAGAGUGUUCAAAGCAGGCUUUCGCUUGAAUACAUUAGCAUGGAAUAAUAAGAUAGGACUUUGGUGCUAUUUUGUUGGUUGAGCCUAAAGUAAUGAUUAAUAGGGAUAGUUGGGGCCACCUGUAUUGCGUUGUCAGAGGUGAAAUUCUUGGAUUUACGCAAGACAAACAGCUGCGAAAGCGUCUGCCAAGGAUGUUUUCAUUA